UUUCUUUCUUCUUCUCUCUAUACGUUGGUGUUCUAACCAAUAAUCACUCAAUCGCUAUUACGAUUCAUUUUCCGACCGAUCAAUAUAUCCAAUGGAUGUUUAAGUGCCGCCCAUAUUAGGGUUAUACUUUGUCGUUCGUCGUUAAUUCGAUGAAUGUUUAAGUAUCGCGCUUUGUCGUUCGUUGUGAGAAUUUGAUCUCGUGAGUUAUCGUAAAAGCUGUAUUGAUCAUUAACCCGGUUUUUGUGAAAUUCGUUAAGGUUCGAAUCUCAUGACUACCGUUAAGGUUUGAUUUGGGUUUUACACCAAUACGUAUUCCAUUCUGUUAAACUAUGUAUUUAACUACCAAAAAUACUCCCAACUACACCCUUACAAUCAAACAAACUAUUAAAUCAUCAGAAGAUCCAGAAUAAUAAAGUGCAUGCUUAAUUAUCGGAAGAAAUAGAAUCAAGAAGUUUGUUAACUCAAUCCUGCAUGCUGAAUUGUAAUUACAGUAGAUUGGAGUAAGGAGUGGAUCCGACACUGAAAGACUUCAAGAAGUGGCUUAUUUUAUUAAUUAAAUCAAAUUAAGAAAUAUUGUUUUUAUUAAAAGCUACCUUUGUAAAACAUGGAAUUUAUUCCAUCUAUUUAAAUAAAAUCCGGUGUUUCUAAACUCUGAUAUUUUCCUAACUCACGGUCCUGAUGAAAUUUCCGCUGCAAUAUUUUUCAAAAUAAUCACCGGUACCACUGGACUGCUCGCGGCUUCCGAUUCCGGCUAGGAUGGGGUCGAGGGUCGUGACAGUAAAGGUGGUAUCAGAGCUAAGCCACUGCUUUAAGCCUAUAAGUGUUGUGAUAACAAUACUUAAGCUUAAAUAAAAGAGUUAGGAGAUUGCUAUUAACUUAACUGGUAGCACAUCUGAUAACAUUUAGACUUGAACAUAAGAAAAGAUGCCUUAGUAUAAGCUAAGCCACUUGUGUACACAAUUAGGUGUUAUAAUAAUACCUAAGCUUAAACGGAAAGUUAGAAACUUAAUAUUAUCUGAUAGCACUCUGAAUGAUAUUUAGACUCGAACUUAAGAAUUUUGUCUUAAUAUAAGCUUCAAGAUAAAAUUAAUUAUAUAAGUAAUAAUAAGUAUAAUUGGUAUUCCAUAAAAAUGACGAUUAGCAGGCAAUAGCACGUAAUUGCUUCUUGCUUAUUGAUAUUAUUUGGUCGAGAAUAAGAUAUGUUAGGGAAAUACAAAUUUCCUUGAUUCUGGAUAAAAGCCCUAAUAAAAAGAGGCACUUUUUGAAAAGAUAUUGUUUAUGGGAAAUAGGAAAUUUUCUCCGGCAAAACUGGGUAUAGAGUAGCAGACUCUCCAGCUUGUCCGGAUAUACUGAAAUUACCGCUCCGGCGCGAACCGGAUAAGACGGGAUAGAUGGUAUGUCAAACCAGUAACAAGAUUUCCCUAAAUAGUAUCAUGACCAAAUAUCUGACUGGUUUUUGGAAAUAUGAAUCUAUUAUAUACAUUUAACCCUAUGAAAGGUAUGUAUAUUACAACAUGUGAAAUAU
rnacentral:lncRNA from 1 species